UAACCUUUAGCACAAGUAUUAAAGGUCCCGCCUGCCCAGUGACUUACCCUUAAACGGCCGCGGUAUUCUAACCGUGCAAAGGUAGCGUAAUCACUUGUCCCAUAAAUAGGGACUAGUAUGAACGGCUAAAUGAGGACUAAGCUGUCUCUUUUAACUAAUCAGUGAAACUGAUCUACCAGUACAAAAGCUGGUAUACUAUCAUAAGACGAGAAGACCCUGUGGAGCUUAAAAUGCCUAUUCCAACAUACUUAUCAUGGCAUAGCAUUUUCAGUUGGGGCGACUACGGAAACAAACAAAACUUCCGAGCUAAUGAGACUGCCCUCCACACUAAGACCAACAAGUCUAAGUAAAAACUUGUGACCCAGCCAGUACUGAUAAACGAACCAAGUUACCCCAGGGAUAACAGCGCUAUCUUCUUAAAGAGUCCCCAUCGACAAGAAGGUUUACGACCUCGAUGUUGGAUCAGGACCCCCAAAUGGUGCAGCCGCUAUUUAAGGUUCGUUUGUUCAACGAUUAACAGUCCUACGUGAUCUGAGUUC
rnacentral:rRNA from 1 species